GACGGAAGGUGCAAGCGUUGCUCGGAAUCACUGGGCGUAAAGGGUGCGUAGGCGGCCGCGCAAGUCUGGCGUGAAAGCCCCGGGCUCAGCCCGGGAAGGGCGCUCGAAACGGCGCGGCUCGAGUGCCGGAGGGGAGAGUGGAAUUCCUGGUGUAGCGGUGAAAUGCGUAGAUAUCGGGAGGAACACCAGUGGCGAAGGCGACUACCUGGCCCAUUCUUGACGCUGAGGCGCGAAAGCUAGGGGAGCGAACGGG
rnacentral:rRNA from 1 species